rnacentral:rRNA from 1 species
AGAGUUUGAUCCUGGCUCAGAUUGAACGCUGGCGGCAUGCUUUACACAUGCAAGUCGAACGGCAGCAUAGAGAGCUUGCUCUCUGAUGGCGAGUGGCGAACGGGUGAGUAAUACAUCGGAACGUGUCCGCUCGUGGGGGACAACCAGCCGAAAGGUUGGCUAAUACCGCAUGAGUUCUACGGAAGAAAGAGGGGGACCCGCAAGGGCCUCUCGCGAGCGGAGCGGCCGAUGACUGAUUAGCCGGUUGGUGAGGUAACGGCUCACCAAAGCAACGAUCAGUAGCUGGUCUGAGAGGACGACCAGCCACACUGGGACUGAGACACGGCCCAGACUCCUACGGGAGGCAGCAGUGGGGAAUUUUGGACAAUGGGCGCAAGCCUGAUCCAGCUAUUCCGCGUGUGGGAUGAAGGCCCUCGGGUUGUAAACCACUUUUGUAGAGAACGAAAAGACACCUUCGAAUAAAGGGUGUUGCUGACGGUACUCUAAGAAUAAGCACCGGCUAACUACGUGCCAGCAGCCGCGGUAAUACGUAGGGUGCGAGCGUUAAUCGGAAUUACUGGGCGUAAAGGGUGCGCAGGCGGUUGAGUAAGACAGAUGUGAAAUCCCCGAGCUUAACUCGGGAAUGGCAUAUGUGACUGCUCGACUAGAGUGUGUCAGAGGGAGGUGGAAUUCCACGUGUAGCAGUGAAAUGCGUAGAUAUGUGGAAGAACACCGAUGGCGAAGGCAGCCUCCUGGGACAUAACUGACGCUCAGGCACGAAAGCGUGGGGAGCAAACAGGAUUAGAUACCCUGGUAGUCCACGCCCUAAACGAUGUCAGCUGAUUGUUCGGGAAGCAAUUCCUGGGUAACCAAGCCAACGCGUGAAGCUGACCGCCUGGGAAGUACGGUCGCAAGAUUAAAACUCAAAGGAAUUGACGGGGACCCGCACAAGCGGUGGAGCAUGUGGUUUAAUU